rnacentral:rRNA from 1 species
GUAUGGUGCAAGCGUUAUCCGGAUUUACUGGGUGUAAAGGGAGCGCAGGCGGACCGGCAAGUUGGAAGUGAAAACUAUGGGCUCAACCCAUAAAUUGCUUUCAAAACUGCUGGCCUUGAGUAGUGCAGAGGUAGGUGGAAUUCCCGGUGUAGCGGUGGAAUGCGUAGAUAUCGGGAGGAACACCAGUGGCGAAGGCGACCUACUGGGCACCAACUGACGCUGAGGCUCGAAAGCAUGGGUAGCAAACAGGAUUAGAUACCCUGGUAGUCCAUGCCGUAAACGAUGAUUACUAGGUGUUGGAGGAUUGACCCCUUCAGUGCCGCAGUUAACACAAUAAGUAUUCCACCUGGGGAGU